CUAUACAUGACUCUGCGCAUAUCAAUAAGCGGAGGAAAAGAAACUAACAAGGAUUCCCCUAGUAACGGCGAGUGAAGCGGGAAGAGCUCAAAUUUGAAAUCUUAAAGGGUUUCCCUUUACGAAUUGUAGUUUAAAGAAGUGUUUUCUGUUGAGGUUUUGGUAAAAGUUCUUUGGAAUAGGACAUCAUCAGAGGGUGAGAAUCCCGUAUUUGACCUUUACUUUCAACUUUGUGAUACACUUUCAAAGAGUCGGAUUGUUUGGGAAUGCAGUCCAAAAUGGGUGGUAAAUUUCAUCUAAAGCUAAAUAUUGGCGAGAGACCGAUAGCGAACAAGUACCGUGAGGGAAAGAUGAAAAGAACUUUGAAAGAGAGAGUUAAACAGUACGUGAAAUUGUCAAAAGGGAAGCGUUUGACACCAGUGUUGUUUUUCUGAAAAUCAAUUAAAGAACUGUUUAUGCUAAGCUGUUUAGACUUUAUCAGCUAAUCUGUUUAGUUUUGAGCUUUUCUUUAAUGCACUUUUCAGUUAACAAGUCAACAUCAAUUUCUUUUGCUGUAAAAAAGCUUGAGGAAGGUGGCUUGAGAUUCGUCUUAAGUGUUUAUAGCCUCUUGCCUAUGCAGUCGGAGAGAUUGAGGUCUGCAGCGUAGAUCCUUCGGGGCUAAAUGCAUUUGUGCUAAGUUAUAGCCUUUUAUAGACAACUUGUUGACUAUGAUUUGUCUUGUAGCUUACUCGCUUAUGUUAUUUUACCUACGCUUAGGAUGUUGAUCUACAGAGCGAGAGU
rnacentral:rRNA from 1 species